rnacentral:rRNA from 1 species
AGCGAACGCUGGCGGCAGGCCUAACACAUGCAAGUCGAACGAACUCUUCGGAGUUAGUGGCGGACGGGUGAGUAACACGUGGGAACGUGCCUUUUGGUUCGGAAUAACUCAGGGAAACUUGUGCUAAUACCGAAUGUGCCCUUCGGGGGAAAGAUUUAUCGCCAUUAGAGCGGCCCGCGUCUGAUUAGCUAGUUGGUGAGGUAACGGCUCACCAAGGCGACGAUCAGUAGCUGGUCUGAGAGGAUGACCAGCCACACUGGGACUGAGACACGGCCCAGACGCCUACGGGAGGCAGCAGUGGGGAAUCUUGCGCAAUGGGCGAAAGCCUGACGCAGCCAUGCCGCGUGAAUGAUGAAGGGCUUAGGAUUGUAAAAUUCUUUCACCGGGGACGAUAAUGACGGUACCCGGAGAAGAAGCCCCGGCUAACUUCGUG